AUACGUAGGGAGCAAGCGUUGUCCGGAAUUACUGGGCGUAAAGGGCGCGUAGGCGGGUAUUUAAGUCAGGUGUGAAAACUCCGAGCUCAACUUGGAGAUUGCACUUGGAACUGGGUAUCUUGAGGGCAGGAGAGGAAAGUGGAAUUCCUAGUGUAGCGGUGAAAUGCGUAGAUAUUAGGAGGAACACCAGUGGCGAAGGCGACUUUCUGGACUGUACCUGACGCUGAGGCGCGAAAGCGUGGGUAGCGAACGGGAUUAGAUACCCCGGUAGUCCACGCUGUAAACGAUGAAUACUAGGUGUAGGAGGUAUCGACCCCUUCUGUGCCGCAGUUAACACAAUAAGUAUUCCGCCUGGGGAGUACGAUCGCAAGAUUGAAACUCAAAUGAAUUGACGGGG
rnacentral:rRNA from 1 species